rnacentral:rRNA from 1 species
UAGCCGUAAACGAUACUCGCUAGGUGUCGGCCACGGUGCGACCGUUGUCGGUGCCGUAGGGAAGCCGUGAAGCGAGCCACCUGGGAAGUACGGCCGCAAGGCUGAAACUUAAAGGAAUUGGCGGGGGAGCACCACAACGGGUGGAGCUUGCGGUUUAAUUGGAUUCAACGCCGGAAAUCUUACCGGGACCGACAGCAUCAUGAAGGCCAGGCUGAAGACUUUGCCGGAUUAGCUGAGAGGUGGUGCAUGGCGUAGUCGUGU